rnacentral:misc_RNA from 1 species
AACCUAGCACACCUGCGGUGUGUACCUGCGGAAGGAUCAUUACCGAGUGUGGUCCCAUAUAAGGGGCGCCUCCCGUCCUUUGCAGGGCCUUUAGGGGCUUUUUGACUUUGCUUCGGCGGGCUUGCCCCGCCGGAACGCCCUCAAGAAAAUCUUUAUGAACCGUUUGUCUGAGUUGCUUGCGAAUAAAAACAAAACUUUCAACAACGGAUCU